rnacentral:misc_RNA from 1 species
UCCAGCUUAUCGCUGGCGGUCUCUUGCGAGUCCUCACGCUUUCACGCUCGUACCACGUACAUGUCAAGCCUAGGUAAGGUUCUUCGCGUUGCGUCGAAUUAAACCACACGCUCCGCUGCUUGUGCGGGCCCCCGUCAAUUCCUUUGAGUUUUAGCCUUGCGGCCGUAGUCCCCAGGCGGAGUACUUAUCGCGUUAGCUUCGGCACUGAGGGGGUCGAUACCCCCAACACCUAGUACUCAUCGUUUACAGCGUGGACUAC